CGGAGGCGCUUUGAGUCUUAUCAAAGUCUCACCCUUCUUUAUCCCAGGUGUCUCCUCAGACCAGAGCGCACAGGAUUUGGGAAUCCCCAUAGUUUCAGAUGGUGCUUCCAAGUGGAUUGUUAGGGUUGGGGGGUCUUUCUAUAGGCAGAAAUAGGAGCUCUGCUGCUGCUGCUGCCCUCACCUUAGCGUGGGCACGAUUUCCGACUUGGGGAAGAGAUGACCAGGUCAUUCAAGGGGAGGGAGAGGCUAUGAGAGGUAACACGUAGGGUGUGUGCAAGGGUCCUGCGACGGGCAGGGUCUGAAGGCUUUGAAAAUCCCCGCUGUCCCUAUGUCUGCGGAGGAGCCAGGCAAGCCUUGUAACCCCCUCGGCCCCCCGUGCACGUGGCUGUUUUACCAAGGUUUCCUUUGCAGCCAGGGCAGCCGCAGUGCCCUGCCAGUCCUUCCCGCGCUGUGCUGGAGCUGACCGGGACAACCGUCAGUGGGGCCACCAUGCAAAGACAGAUCGCAGAACAAGAGCCAGUCCAGGUGUAACGUGCUAUACGAGGUGAGCCUCCAGCGUCCGACAGCUCUUGUCGCUGCUCAUGAUGGAGUGCAUGGAGAGAGAAGAAAAUGCCUUCUGACCUUAUGAUUUCACGGCUAGAUGAAUGACUACAUCCUCCCCUGAGCAACAGGCUGCCAGGUCCCCAAAGGUCUGAAGAGAAAACAUCUGGUGUUCCCUUCCAUUGCUUUUGGGUUUUUCUGAGCUCUGAACUUCUUGUUAGAGUUUUUAGGGCUGGAAACUUACUUUUGUUUUCUUUAACAAGUAUACAUAUAUGAACCAAUGCUUGAUUAAUCACCUGUUUCUCUGAGGUGGUGUUGCUGUAGACAGUAAACUGCACCAAACUGAUGGAGGCGUGUGGUCCAGGGAGAGACCUGCCAGCCCAGAGCUCCUGAGAGCCGUGCUGGGCUCUUUGUCCGAUUUCUUCUCUGACUUUAGCCAAACCGUUCAGCUUUUCUACCGCAGUGUGUCCCCGUCUUCCAGCGGUCCAUCAGGUGGAAGAAAUCUCAGCACCCAUCUCCCCCCCGCAGGCGGAUUAUGAAGAAUUCAUGCCCAAAGAGCACUUUGUGAGAACUGACUUUUAAGACUGAAUUAUUGAUGCCUUGACUAACCUCUGCUUUUUUGCACAGGGAAGGAAUGUCAUGAGAAACAGAUUACUUAAAAACGGUACUAAUCAGAUAAUCCUUGCACGCGGUGCUGUUCCAGACUUAAAAUCUCCAGAUUCACGGAGGUAGAAGGCAUAAUGUCCAACCUGGCUUCCAAAGUUUCUCACCUAAUUUCUGCUCCUUGGUGGAGUCUCAGCAGUUGCAGCGGAGUGCCAACGUGUUGUAAGAGAAAGUGAGCGGGGUGUAAGUGUUGGGUGAUCUGGGUCAAGGUAUGUACCUUCUGAACAGAAAUGGGGGGCGCAGGAAGCAUUAGCUCAAGUAACUAUACAGGCCUUAGCUUGUGUUCAGCUUAAGGCACUACGAAUUAAUCUAUGUGUAUAGCUGCAGAAGGAUCCGUGCGUUAUCCCGGCACAGGCAGCAUCAGCAAAAAGGUCAGCCGGUGGUCAGCAUCACGCUUCACUUGUUCAUCAGCACAAAGCCGAAUGCUUCCAGAGACUGAACUUUCAUGUCCCAAGGAGCAUUUUUAAGGCAUGUGUUAUCUAUUUGUGAAAUCCAGUUUUCAAAAGGCAAAAUAUACAUUUCUGAAGCAUUUCUUCCUAGCCAUGGUAAUUUAACAUUCCUGCGACUCAGUUCAGAGUUGCGAGUGCUCCGAGCGGAGGGAACACAGCUUGGUGCUUGGGCUGUGCCGUUGGCAGCUGAAAUCAUCUAGUCAUGACUUGCAAACUAAGUGUUAUGAAAUCACUGAUACUGGAUAAACACGAAACAUCUGGCUUUCAUCCCUUAAAACACCACCUUUUUGACUGUAAGGAAGCGCUCACAGUAACACUGAUCUGAACCGAAGAUCGUGAAGUAAAUGUACGAGUGUGUACAGAUGCUUACGGACCUCUGCGCCUGAGGCAUCGGCAGGUAAUCGCACCAAGACACAGGCGAUCCCUCCAGAAAUCGCAGAACUGACGCAGAGGCACGAUUUGUGCUCAGAGACUCACCCAGCUAAUGGGAUUAUUGUCAAGCCAGGGACAAAUGUCAUGCAGUUCAGGAGCUGGUCAUCAGUAAUGCAGCGAGGAAUCUGUUGGAACAAGCACUGCAAUGUCAGGGUGUAACCCUACACAAAAGAAAAGUCAAACUAAUGGCUUGUUGAUGCUGAAAAGGGACCGUCCUGUCACUCAGCCGCUCGCUCCCGAUGUUUCCCUUGAACUCGCACUCAACUGUCCUUGCCCUGGGCCAGGCUGCAGAGCAAAACAGGAAUUAAAAACAACUCCACAUACACAGAGAAUAGAUUUUUUGGCAGUUUGCUCCCUCACUGGAGCUUCCCCAAAUGUUUUGUUUUUACAGCUGAUGAUUUUUGGGUUUGAAAUAUGUGUGAGUGUCUUUGGGACCACGUGUUGGAUGUGGUCCUGCCCUCAUUUCAGCUCGUAGCAAAAGCCACAUGAACUGCAGCAAGAACAGGCUUGUUUUAUGGCUUACAGCCUGGAAAUACUGUACUCAACACAGCAUGGCUUUGCAAAACUGGAUGUGAUCGACAGCACCGCUGUAGCAUUUUGUUGGGUUAGAUGGCCAAAUAAUCUGUGGAGAAGCCAAAUACAGACAUGUUUUCUUUAUAGUUAGUAAAAAUGCUUGAAAAAAACCCUGGUGAAGAGCUGACAAAUUUUUGGAACUCAGAACGUAAUGCAUAUGCAGUAGAGUCAACUGUCUGCUGGCAUAAAGGGGUGAAACGCUCUCAAAGUGAAUAGAAAUAUUUCAGAUAACAAUAGCGGGGAAUUUGCCCAGCUGUGUUUCAGCUGCUGCCACGCAAAGCCCUAGUGAAUUGGGCUUUCUCCAAAGAGACUGUGCAAGCUCUGCAGUGUCCGUAAGUAGGAAUACCUGUUUAUUCUAUCUUCAAACAAAAAGUGCGUGGGACUCAGAUGAACAAAUUACUGUGCUUAGUGAAUGUGAGCAGAAUGUUUCGAAGUUACUUACUCCGGCUGGACUUGUAGAUGAAGCAGGAGAAAACCCACCUUGGCUUAAAACUCAAGGAAAAGUACCUGUCUUUUUACUUAUUUCACCUUGCAACUCUGAUGGACUUAAAAACAAACCUCUGGUAAUGUAUUUGGGUAUUUGUCUAAGCCUGUAAAAAUAAUCUUAGCCCUAGAGGGCUUACAGUCAAAAUGGUUACCCUGCAGCUAGCUGCCUGUGUACCUACAAACUGGUGCGUAGCGCCAACUGGAACAGUGUGAUAGUUCACCCCUGCGUGUAUUUGCAGGGCUGAUGUCUUAAAAAAAAACCAGCCGGGUACGGAUAAUAAAAUCUGUUGCUGCUGUGGGGUUUGUAGGAAGGUCUGUUUCAAAAUCCUUUUACUAGCUGCACCUGUAAUCACAGAAGAAUCUUUUAGUAAUGCAUCUUCAGACAAAUGCAGGGAAUGGAGAAGUGCGCCCAGCAAGACAGCUCUAUCUGCUCCUAUUCCUCCCUGAGCAGCCUGCUUACAAGCUUUCUCACACUUGUGUGAAAUGGUAAUGUGGAAGGGGGAUACUGUGGCUCCAGCCCCUCCUGACAUUUUCAAUGCAUUUCCCAGUCCUGCUUUUCCAUCCUGCAGUGUAAAAUUAAUUUUGGCAAAAUCUUGAAUGAAUUAAACUGCAACACAGUGAUCUCCUUGCUCAACUCAUAUUUGCUGUCUGCCUGAUUUAUGUUGAAAAGAGGCACUUGGGCAUGCCAAUUAUCCUGUCUUUUAUUUGCCUUGUGCAUUGAGCCUUUGGCUACUAGAAUUAAACUGGAAAAUGCAAUUAAAAGCAUUAGCUGUAGCAAACAUACCACAAAAUAUCAUUAUAUGCUUGACAAUGUUCUUCUUCAUAUUGUUAAUCCCUGCAGAUCUACCUGUGCUAUUAGAUUUCAUAUAUGGAUUUUAUUUUUCUCAAAAGACUACAUUAAUUGGAAUGAGCAAGUUGCAUGCCUAAUUGCAGAAGGAGAGAAAUGGAAGAUGUCACCAUACUGGAAAACCUCACCCAACUUUUCUUGGUGAAUAUUGUCUGAACUUGAAUCGAGCAAACAUUAUUCAAGCUUCAAAAUGUUUGCGGAUACCUAGACAAUGUUAUUAGAUAAAUAAAUGUUUGGCUGGGUGCA